AGAACGAACGCUGGCGGCAGGCCUAACACAUGCAAGUCGAGCGCCCGUAGCAAUACGGGAGCGGCAGACGGGAUAGUAACACGUGGGAACGCGCCCUUCGGUUCGGAAUAACUCAGGGAAACUUGAGCUAAAUACCGGAUACGCCCUUACGGGGAAAGAUUUAUUGCCGAAGGAACGGCCCGCGUCCGAUUAGCUAGUUGGUGAGGUAAUGGCUCACCAAGGCGACGAUCGGUA
rnacentral:rRNA from 1 species